GACGAACGCUGGCGGCGUGCUUAACACAUGCAAGUCGAGCGAACAGGCGCUGAUUUUGUGGGGUGCUCGAGUGGCGAACGCGUGAGUAACACGUGAGUAACCUGCCCUUGUCUUUGGGAUAACUUCAGGAAACUCGGGCUAAUACAGGAUAGGAGCUCCUGCAGCAUGGUGGGGGAUGGAAAGUUUCGGCGUUUGGGGAUGGACUCGCGGCUUAGCAGCUUGUUGGUGUGGUAGUGGCUUACCAAGGCUUUGACGGGUAGCCGGCCUGAGAGGGUGACCGGCCACAUUGGGACUGAGAUACGGCCCAGACUCCUACGGGAGGCAGCAGUGGGGAAUAUUGCACAAUGGGCGGAAGCCUGAUGCAGCAACGCCGCGUGCGGGAUGACGGCCUUCGGGUUGUAAACCGCUUUCGCCUGUGACGAAGCGUGAGUGACGGUAAUGGGUAAAGAAGCACCGGCUAACUACGUG
rnacentral:rRNA from 1 species